AUAGAAUUAGUGCUUCUCAAUUCUAAUAUCUGAAAGAUCCCACGCAGAGAGACCCUUACUCAAGUCUUGGGAAAUCGCAGACCCCAGACACAGAGAGACCA
rnacentral:pre_miRNA from 14 species